rnacentral:rRNA from 1 species
GUGGGGAAUAUUGGACAAUGGGCGAAAGCCUGAUCCAGCCAUGCCGCGUGUGUGAAGAAGGUCUUCGGAUUGUAAAGCACUUUAAGUUGGGAGGAAGGGCAGUAAGUUAAUACCUUGCUGUUUUGACGUUACCGACAGAAUAAGCACCGGCUAACUUCGAGCCAGCAGCCGCGGUAAUACGGAGGGGGCUAGCGUUGUUCGGAAUUACUGGGCGUAAAGCGCACGUAGGCGGACUGGAAAGUCAGGGGUGAAAUCCCGGGGCUCAACCUCGGAACUGCCUCCAAAACUACUGAGCUAGAGUACGGUAGAGGGUAGUGGAAUUUCCUGUGUAGCGGUGAAAUGCGUAGAUAUAGGAAGGAACACCAGUGGCGAAGGCGACUACCUGGACUGAUACUGACACUGAGGUGCGAAAGCGUGGGGAGCAAACAGGAUUAGAUACCCGUGUAGUCC